AACGCUAGCUACAGGCUUAACACAUGCAAGUCGAGGGGCAGCAUGAUUGAAGCUUGCUUCAAUUGAUGGCGACCGGCGCACGGGUGAGUAACACGUAUCCAACCUGCCGAUAACUCGGGGAUAGCCUUUCGAAAGAAAGAUUAAUACCCGAUAGUAUAGUAUUUCCGCAUGGUUUCACUAUUAAAGAAUUUCGGUUAUCGAUGGGGAUGCGUUCCAUUAGAUAGUUGGCGGGGUAACGGCCCACCAAGUCAACGAUGGAUAGGGGUUCUGAGAGGAAGGUCCCCCACAUUGGAACUGAGACACGGUCCAAACUCCUACGGGAGGCAGCAGUGAGGAAUAUUGGUCAAUGGACGAGAGUCUGAACCAGCCAAGUAGCGUGAAGGAUGACUGCCCUAUGGGUUGUAAACUUCUUUUAUACGGGAAUAAAGUGGAGUAUGCAUACUCCUUUGUAUGUACCGUAUGAAUAAGGAUCGGCUAACUCCGUGCCAGCAGCCGCGGUAAUACGGAGGAUCCGAGCGUUAUCCGGAUUUAUUGGGUUUAAAGGGAGCGUAGGCGGGUGCUUAAGUCAGUUGUGAAAGUUUGCGGCUCAACCGUAAAAUUGCAGUUGAUACUGGGCGCCUUGAGUGCAGCAUAGGUAGGCGGAAUUCGUGGUGUAGCGGUGAAAUGCUUAGAUAUCACGAAGAACUCCGAUUG
rnacentral:rRNA from 1 species